rnacentral:rRNA from 1 species
UGUUUAGGAAUAGCGCGACCGAAGGUUGAUCUAAGCGCAAGUCCUCCUGACUGGGGCUCUCGCCCAGAGAGGGUGCAAGGCCCAUAGUCGCUUAUGAUCUCCGGCGGAAGCAAAAUUCCUUGGAGUCGGGUUGCUUGAGAGUGCAGCCCUAAGUGGGUGGUAAACUCCAUCUAAGGCUAAAUACGACCACGAAACCGAUAGCGAACAAGUACCGUGAGGGAAAGUUGAAAAGAACUUUGAAGAGAGAGUUCAAGAGUGCGUGAAACCGUUUAGAGGUAAACGGGUGGGCCCUCGAAGGUGAUCGUCGGAGGGAUUCAGUCGGACGUGACCGUAAGCGUCGUUCGUCUCUAACGGUGCGGACCUCGGUCGGCCGGGCGGGCGAAGGCUGCGGGCCGUUUGGCGCAUUUCCUUCCGUUCGAACUACGCUGCGACCAGUCUGGUCACUGAAAGUUGUCGUCCUUGAAAACGAGCGACGGAAGGUGGCCGGCGGCGUCUCUCGGGAUGCCGUCGGUGUUUAUAGCCAGUUCGUUUCACGAGUGAGCGUUCAUCAGACUGGGGACGAUUCUAGCCCUGUGCGGGCUACGCCGAGCACUCCAUUUUUUUGGAGCGUUGCGGGGUGACUGGAUGUGCCUGCGGUCGGUGGUUUCACCUUUGCGUGGGCUAACGCCGUAGUCUCCGUAAGCUCAUUCCGUACUCGCCGUUGCUCAGGUGGUCAGCAGCGAGUAGNNNNNNNNNNNNNNNNNNNCGUCUUGAAACACGGACCAAGGAGUCUAACAUGUGCGCGAGUCAUUGGGUCUUGAAUAGGCCCAAAGGCGUAAUGAAAGUGAAGGGCGGUUCGGCCGUCUGCCUUGGGAUCCCGCGGACCUCGCGUUCGCGGGCGCACCAAGGGCCCGUCCCGGUCGCCUCGUCGACGGGGCGGAGCAAGAGCGUACACGUUGGGACCCGAAAGAUGGUGAACUAUGCCUGGGCAGGACGAAGCCAGAGGAAACUCUGGUGGAGGUCCGCAGCGAUUCUGACGUGCAAAUCGAUCGUCAGACCUGGGUAGGGGCGAAAGACUAAUCGAACCAUCUAGUAGCUGGUUCCU